rnacentral:rRNA from 1 species
AAUAUUGGUCAAUGGGGGAAACCCUGAACCAGCAACGCCGCGUGAAGGAAGAAGGCUUUCGGGUUGUAAACUUCUUUGACAGGGGACGAAAAAAAUGACGGUACCCUGAAAACAAGCCACGGCUAACUACGUGCCAGCAGCCGCGGUAAUACGUAGGUGGCAAGCGUUAUCCGGAUUUACUGGGUGUAAAGGGCGCGUAGGCGGGCAUGCAAGUCAGAUGUGAAAUUUAUGGGCUUAACCCAUAACCUGCAUUUGAAACUGUGUGUCUUGAGUGAUGGAGAGGUAAGUGGAAUUCCUAGUGUAGCGGUGGAAUGCGUAGAUAUUAGGAGGAACACCAGUGGCGAAGGCGACUUACUGGACAUUAACUGACACUGAGGCUCGAAAGCGUGGGGAGCAAACAGG